GUAACAUUAUCUCUGUAGCGGGCA
rnacentral:siRNA from 1 species